AUGAACGCUGGCGGCGUGCCUAAUACAUGCAAGUCGAGCGAACAGAUGAGGAGCUUGCUCCUCUGACGUUAGCGGCGGACGGGUGAGUAACACGUGGAUAACCUACCUAUAAGACUGGGAUAACUUCGGGAAACCGGAGCUAAUACCGGAUAAUAUAUUGAACCGCAUGGUUCAAUAGUGAAAGACGGUUUUGCUGUCACUUAUAGAUGGAUCCGCGCCGCAUUAGCUAGUUGGUAAGGUAACGGCUUACCAAGGCAACGAUGCGUAGCCGACCUGAGAGGGUGAUCGGCCACACUGGAACUGAGACACGGUCCAGACUCCUACGGGAGGCAGCAGUAGGGAAUCUUCCGCAAUGGGCGAAAGCCUGACGGAGCAACGCCGCGUGAGUGAUGAAGGUCUUCAGAUCGUAAAACUCUGUUAUUAGGGAAGAACAAAUGUGUAAGUAACUAUGCACGUCUUGACGGUACCUAAUCAGAAAGCCACGGCUAACUACGUG
rnacentral:rRNA from 1 species